rnacentral:rRNA from 1 species
AACGAACGCUGGCGGCGUGGAUAAGACAUGCAAGUCGAACGGGACAUUAUUUGUAGCAAUACAGAUGAUGUUCAGUGGCGCAAGGGUGAGUAACACGUGAGCAACCUGCCUUGAAGUGGGGGAUAGCUCGCCGAAAGGCGAAUUAAUACCGCAUGUGGUAGUAAUACUAAAGCCGGGGCAACCUGGCGCUUCUAGAGGGGCUCGCGGCCUAUCAGCUAGUUGGUAAGGUAAUGGCUUACCAAGGCUAUGACGGGUAGCUGGUCUGAGAGGACGACCAGCCACACUGGAACUGAGACACGGUCCAGACACCUACGGGUGGCAGCAGUCGAGAAUUUUUCUCAAUGGGGGAAACCCUGAAGGAGCGACGCCGCGUGGAGGAUGAAGGUCUUCGGAUUGUAAACUCCUGUCAUUGGUGAACAAAGUCACAGGUUAACUGCCUUGUGAUCUGCUAGUAGCCGAAGAGGAAGGGACGGCUAACUCUGUGC